CAGCAGCCGCGGGAAUACGAAGGGUGCAAGCGUUACUCGGAAUUACUGGGCGUAAAGCGUGCGUAGGUGGUGGUUUAAGUCCGUUGUGAAAGCCCUGGGCUCAACCUGGGAAUUGCAGUGGAUACUGGGUCACUAGAGUGUGGUAGAGAAUAGUGGAAUUUCCGGUGUAGCAGUGAAAUGCGUAGAGAUCGGAAGGAACAUCUGUGGCGAAGGCGACUAUCUGGGCCAACACUGACACUGAGGCACGAAAGCGUGGGGAGCAAACAGGAUUAGAUACCCCAGUAGUCCCUGUCUCUUAUAC
rnacentral:rRNA from 1 species